GAGGGAGCGGAGCUGAGCUGAGCAGCGCGGCUGUCCCGAAUACUGGAUCCAGGAGGAGAUCCUUGCAAAUCCUCAGUGGUUUGCAUGCAAAAUGCAGAGCUGGUGGUGUGCAGCAGUAACAGCGGCGGCAGCAGCAGCAAGAGGGGAGGUGAACAGCCAAGCCAAGCCUGCUGCUCUGCCUCUUUGCCAGGCAGGCAGGCAGGAUAUCAAGCCCUGCCCCCGGCCCUUGGGAAGCCCAGCGCAGGGCAUGGGACCAGGAGGAGGAGGCGGGUAGGGACUCACUCACCGAGGCAGUUGCAGCUCGUCCUGAUCGCACUUUGCCUUCCAGCUAGUUGUUUGACGCAGAGAGAGAGAGGAGAGAGAGAGGAGCGUCCUGGCUCUGCCAGCAGCGGCGGGGGCACAAUGCAGCAAGAAGACCAAGGCGCACGCGACUUGCAAGAAGCAGGGCCGGGCAGCCCGCUGGCGACACGAUGUGGAGAGGGGGACCGAGCCCUACAAAGAGAGGAGCAGUUGGAAGGGGGUGUUUAGAUCUGGGGCCACCGGCUCAGUGCCAAAUGAUUAAAAAAAUCUCCUUUUAGUUACAGUAUUUUCCCCCUCACCUCCCAAACAGUCUCAGGGCUUUCGGUGGUGAGCCUGCGGGGCAGUCCUCGUUGUACAGCACGUAGCAGAAGAGGAAGAGGCAGCUGCCUUAGCUGCCCCACUAACUGGACACACUGAAAAAGAAGUCAUUCUUAACACGACACCGCCAUAAAUAAUCAGCAUGAUGUUCCAAAUGUCUGAUAAUGUCUAAUAAUCCAAGUUGAGAGAUCCCCCAACAACGAUUCAGGAACAAUGAAACACAGCUCUCUACUUUUUGGGUGGGAAGGAGAAAAUGUCCCUCUCUCAUAAAAUCUAGGGUGGAAGGCUGUAGCAACAAUCUGGAAAAGAUGAGCAACGAGUAAGAAGGCUCCAAAGAAAGUCUGGCAAGUGUUUGAGUCAUCUGAGCAAACAUGGGCUGAGCCAAAAAUGUUUUGAAUAUGGAUAAUUCUAGAGGAAUAAACACUCUCUCAAUG